UUACUAUGAAUUAUAAUGAUAGAGGACUUUCUGUUUCCUCUCUUGAUUGCUUCAUCUUUCUCUCCACAGCCUUUACAUCCAGUUUAUUCCCAUGAAGUCUCUUCUAAUUGAAAACGUACCAAAUUUCAUCAGCCACUCCAGUGAUUUCCAGAAAAUGAAGAGUCUGAAUUGUUCUUGCUUUCUGGGACUUAUAGCUAGAAUUCAGGUAAGUACCCUAUAAAAGAAGAGAGUCCUGUUCAAGAGAGCCUAGUGAACAAUUUAUAAAGCACUAAAGAGGAGGCCCAUAUGGUUCAAAGACAAAAAUCUACAGGGAACCAACUUGUUGGCUAUUCUUGAAUGAAUCAUACACCCUGUUCCCUGUGGCUUCUCCAUUUUU
rnacentral:lncRNA from 1 species